ACGAAGGGUGCAAGCGUUACUCGGAAUUACUGGGCGUAAAGCGCACGUAGGCGGCUUUGUAAGUUAGAGGUGAAAGCCCGGAGCUCAACUCCGGAACUGCCUUUAAGACUGCAUCGCUUGAAUCCAGGAGAGGUGAGUGGAAUUCCGAGUGUAGAGGUGAAAUUCGUAGAUAUUCGGAAGAACACCUGUGGCGAAGGCGGCUCACUGGACUGGUAUUGACGCUGAGGUGCGAAAGCGUGGGGAGCAAACAGGA
rnacentral:rRNA from 1 species